AGAACGAACGCUGGCGGCAGGCUUAACACAUGCAAGUCGAACGGCUGUAGCAAUACAGCAGUGGCAGACGGGUGAGUAACACGUGGGAACCUUCCUAGGGGUACGGAACAACUCAGGGAAACUUGAGCUAAUACCGUAUACGUCCGUGAGGAGAAAGAUUUAUCGCCCUUAGACGGGCCCGCGUCGGAUUAGGUAGUUGGUGGGGUAACGGCCUACCAAGCCUACGAUCCGUAGCUGAUCUGAGAGGAUGAUCAGCCACACUGGGACUGAGACACGGCCCAGACUCCUACGGGAGGCAGCAGUGGGGAAUCUUGGACAAUGGGGGCAACCCUGAUCCAGCCAUGCCGCGUGAUCGAUGAAGGCCUUAGGGUUGUAAAGAUCUUUCAGCUGGGAAGAUAAUGACGGUACCAGCAGAAGAAGCCCGGCUAACUCCGUGCCAGCAGCCG
rnacentral:rRNA from 1 species